rnacentral:rRNA from 1 species
UACGAGGGGUCCAAGCGUUGUUCGGAAUCAUUGGGCGUAAAGCGGGUGUAGGUGGCUUUGUAAGUCAGGAGUGAAAUCCCCGAGCUUAACUUGGGAAGUGCUUUUGAAACUGCAAAGCUUGAGUGUGGGAGAGGAUCGUGGAAUUCCAGGUGUAGUGGUGAAAUACGUAGAUAUCUGGAGGAACACCGGUGGCGAAGGCGGCGAUCUGGCCCAACACUGACACUGAGACCCGAAAGCGUGGGGAUCAAACAGG